GGCUCAGAUUGAACGCUGGCGGCAGGCCUAACACAUGCAAGUCGAGCGGUAACAGAAUUUUUGACGAGCGGCGAACGGGUGAGUAAUGUAUGGGGAUCUGCCCGAUAAAGGGGGAUAACUACUGGAAACGGUAGCUAAUACCGCAUAAACUCUUAGGAGCAAAGCAGGGGAACUUCGGUCCUUGCGUUGUCGGAUGAACCCAUAUGGGAUUAGCUAGUAGGUGUGGUAAUGGCUCACCUAGGCUACGAUCCCUAGCUGGUCUGAGAGGAUGAUCAGCCACACUGGAACUGAGAUACGGUCCAGACUCCUACGGGAGGCAGCAGUGGGGAAUAUUGCACAAUGGGCGAAAGCCUGAUGCAGCCAUGCCGCGUGUAUGAAGAAGGCAGCAGCCGCGGUAAUACGGAGGGUGCUAGCGUUAAUCGGAAUUACUGGGCGUAAAGAGCACGUAGGCGGUUAUUUAAGUUAGAUGUGAAAGCCCUGGGCUUAACUUAGGAAUUGCAUCUAAAACUAGAUGACUAGAGUUUUGUAGAGGGAGGUAGAAUUCCAUGUGUAGCGGUGAAAUGCGUAGAGAUGUGGAGGAAUACCAGUGGCGAAGGCGGCCUCCUAGACAAAAACUGACGCUCAGGUGCGAAAGCGUGGGGAGCAAACAGGAUUAGAUACCCUGGUAGUCCACGCUGUAAACGAUGUCGAUUUGAAAGUUGUUUCCUUGAGGAAUGGCUUUCGUAGCUAACGCGUUAAAUCGACCGCCUGGGGAGUACGGCCGCAAGGUUAAAACUCAAAUGAAUUGACGGGGGCCCGCACAAGCGGUGGAGCAUGUGGUUUAAUUCGAUGCAACGCGAAAAACCUUACCUACUCUUGACAUCCAGAGGAUUUUGCAGAAAUGCUUAAGUGCCUUCGGGAACUCUGAGACAGGUGCUGCAUGGCUGUCGUCAGCUCGUGUUGUGAAAUGUUGGGUUAAGUCCCGCAACGAGCGCAACCCCAUUGUAACGAGCGCAACCCUUAUCCUUUGUUGCCAGCGACUUUAGUCGGGAACUCAAAGGAGACUGCCGGUGAUAAACUGGAGGAAGGUGGGGAUGACGUCAAGUCAUCAUGGCCCUUACGAGUAGGGCUACACACGUGCUACAAUGGCGUAUACAAAGAGAGGCGACCUCGCAAGAGUAAGCGAAACUUAUAAAGUGCGUCGUAGUCCAGAUUGGAGUCUGCAACUCGACUCCAUGAAGUCGGAAUCGCUAGUAAUCGUAGAUCAGAAUGCUACGGUGAAUACGUUCCCGGGCCUUGUACACACCGCCCGUCACACCAUGGGAGUGGGUUGCAAAAGAAGUAAGUAGUUUAACCUUAAAAGGAGGACGCUUACCACUUUGUGAUUCAUGACUGGGGUGAAGUCGUAACAAGGUAACCGUAGGGGAACCUGCGGCUGGAUCACCUCAUAAA
rnacentral:rRNA from 1 species